rnacentral:tRNA from 1 species
GAGGGUCUAGCUCAAUUGGUAGAGUGCAUGCUUAGCAUGCAUGGGGUCCUGGGUUCAAUGUUCAAUCCCCAGUACUUCCA